AACAAUAAAAUACAAAUUCAACACAUAUAUCCAAUUUCUCAACCCCUCAGCUACUCAUUCAGUGAGACAGGAUUUACUAUGGGUAUCAAGACAUAGGCCCAGUCCUUGAAAAAUCUAAGCAUAUACACAAAGAGCAGAUUCUACCCCAUGUUCAGCUAGAGGUAGACAUGGGAAAAUACAACAGGAAAGUAUAAACCACUAUUUCUGCCACUGAAGUCAAUACAAUUGAAGAAAAGGCAGAAAAAAGAAUCCUCAAUUCAGUCUUGCAAGGUCAGGAAAUACUGCUUGAUUUCUGGCCGAGAGUUAGAAUUGGGUACAAAAUAAGGACAGAAAGCCAUCCGAGGUGUGAGGUAGAUAGCUCAUCUGACUUCUUCACCACUGGGCCAAGAGUUUAGCUCCUAAUUCUUUUUUCCUAGGUUCUAAAGGCAAGAGAGUUGGCUGAAGCGAAUGUCAAGACAGCCUCAAAACCUCUCCUUUACGUAGCUUCAGAUAAGUAAGGGGAAGCUUGUAUUACAUAGGUACUAGGUAUCCCACUCUCUCCCAGAUAAGAAAUAUCGUCAAGAAUAUA